GGGCGAAUGGUUUAGUGGUAUAAUACUCCCUUAGCAAGGUCCUCUUAAGGUCCUCCUCCUGGGAGUGGUCCAGGGUUCGAUUCCCUGUUCGUCCA